UGUGGCAGAGGGUUCGGCUGUAAGGGCUGUACAGGAGAAGCUGUUUGCCCACCGCUCAGAACUCAUGGCUGCCUUUCAGCAGUAUGACACAAGUAACAGUGGCUGUUCUCUGUCAGUGAGUGGGCCCUGGUGGUGGAGUCAGUCCUGAGACUGGACCUGCCCUGGAGGACUCUGCGCCCGCGCCUGGCACGGCUGGCUCCAGAUGGCAGCAUCGACUACCAGUCCUGCUUUGAGGACAUAGGCCCGGGACAACCCAUACCCCAGGUCACUCCAAACUUGGCUGAAACUCUUUACAGAUAUCGAACAGACCUUGAGAUUAUCUUCAACAUCAUGGACAAAGACCACUCUGGUCAGAUCUCCAUCGAGGAGUUCCGUCAGACCUGGCGUCUGUUUAGUGCUCACCUGGGUGUGGAGGUGGAGAUCGGGCCAUAGAUGAACUGGCUAAGAGUAUAGACUUCAACAAGGAUGGCAGCAUCGACUUCAACGAGUUCCUAGAGGCCUUCAGGGUGGUGCACAAACUGGAUGUUAAGGACCAACAGCAGGGCUGAGACAAAUCUUGUUGUAGACCUGAAGACUCACAUUAGCUACCCAGGCAAUGACUUGGCUUUAGCUCAGUGAGCCAACACUGGCAGCAGGGCUGAGCGAACUACAAAGACCAGCGGCUAGGUUGAGAGAACUACAAAGACCAGCGGCUACACAGACCAGCGGCUAGGCUGAGAGAUCUACAAGACCAGCAGCUAGGCUGAUAGAACUACAAAGACCAGCAGCUAUGCUGAUAGAACUACAAAGACCAGCAGCUAUGCUGAGAGCGAACUACAAGACCAGCAGCUAUGCUGAGAGGAACUACAAAGACCAGCAGCUAUGCUGAGAGCGAACUACAAAGACCAGCAGCUAUGCUGAGAGAGAACUACAAAGCCAGCAGCUAUGCUGAGAGAGAACUACAAAGACCAGCAGCUAUGCUGAGAGGUCUACAAAGACCAGCAGCUAUGCUGAGAGGUCUACAAAGACCAGCAGCUAUGCUGAGAGAGAACUAGAAAGACCAGCAGCUAUGCUGAGAGAGAACUACAAAGACCAGCAGCUUAUGCUGAGAGCGAACUGCAAAGACCAGCAGCUAUGCUGGAGAGCGAACUGCAAAGACCAGCAGCUAUGCUGAGAGAGAACUACAAAGACCAGCAGCUAUGCCGAGAGGUCUACAAAGACCAGCAGCUAGGCCUGAGAGAACUACAAAGAACCGGGAGCUAUGCUGAGAUAGAACUACAAAGACCAGCAGCUUAUGCC